rnacentral:SRP_RNA from 1 species
UUUUGGUCCUCUCGCAAUGAUACUCUGUGAAUCCGGUCAGGCCUGGAAGGGAGCAGCCGCAGCAGACGACUCAUGUGCCGAGAUGUGGCUGGAGGCC